CGGAGGAAAAGAAACUAACAAGGAUUCCCCUAGUAGCGGCGAGCGAAGCGGGAAGAGCUCAAAUUUAUAAUCUGGCACCUUCGGUGUCCGAGUUGUAAUCUCUAGAAGUGUUUUCCGCGUUGGACCGCACACAAGUCUGUUGGAAUACAGCGGCAUAGUGGUGAGACCCCCGUAUAUGGUGCGGACGCCCAACGCUUUGUGAUACACUUUCGAAGAGUCGAGUUGUUUGGGAAUGCAGCUCAAAAUGGGUGGUAAAUUCCAUCUAAAGCUAAAUAUUGGCGAGAGACCGAUAGCGAACAAGUACCGUGAGGGAAAGAUGAAAAGCACUUUGGAAAGAGAGUAAAACAGUACGUGAAAUUGUUGAAAGGGAAACGCUUGAAGUCAGUCGCGUCUUCUGGGACUCAGCCUUGCUCUGCUUGGUGCAUUUCCCAGUUUGACGGGUCAGCAUCGGCUCUGGGGGGCGGACAAAGGCGCGGGGAAGGUGGCAGCUCCGGCUGCGUUAUAGCCCCGCGUUACGCGUACCCCGGGNNNCGAGGAAUCCGGCGCUCGCGCCUGGGAUGCUGGCGUAAUGGCUUUAAACGAC
rnacentral:rRNA from 1 species